UACAUUUGGAGUGCAUGGUCAUAGAAUAUGCCAAAGGCGAUAUUAGGCAACUGCUUCGACCAACAUUGACCUAUGGUAAAGAGAGAGUCCGGUGCUGAACGAAUCACAAAAAACCAGACUACAAGGAUCAUGACUGAUAGCUAAAGUAGAGUAGUGACCGAAGGCUUUAAUUCGAGAAGAAGAACAUAUUCUUUCCGAAAAUACAGCGACAUUUGGUUUGUAAUAUGGAAGUCAGCAGGAACUGGUAUUAUAAACAAA